UAAUGUUGAUGGCAGUCUUAGGACACCUUUGGAAUAACUGUGAAAUAAUAAC
rnacentral:snoRNA from 1 species